rnacentral:rRNA from 1 species
UACGGGGGGGGCAAGCGUUGUUCGGAAUUACUGGGCGUAAAGGGCUCGUAGGCGGCCAACUAAGUCAGACGUGAAAUCCCUCGGCUUAACCGGGGAACUGCAUCUGAUACUGGAUGGCUUGAGUUCGGGAGAGGGAUGCGGAAUUCCAGGUGUAGCGGUGAAAUGCGUAGAUAUCUGGAGGAACACCGUGGCGAGGAGGCGAUCCUGGACCGACACUGACGCUGAGGAGCGAAAGCCAGGGGAGCAAACGGG